rnacentral:misc_RNA from 1 species
GUUCUCUUAUGACAAAUAAGGUCAUUUUCUUACCCUUUACUUGCUAUCUACCAAGAAUAGAUUUAUGACUCUUUUCUCACCUCAGCAUCUUUCAGGACAACCGUCUAAGUUUAAAUUCUUUUUGUAUGUGCUCACUUGGAAUUCUCAACCAAAAGUAACUUUAUAGUCAAACAAUAAUAGUUUGAAAAUUACUUGUUUUUUUAGU